AUUGAACGCUGGCGGCAUGCCUUACACAUGCAAGUCGAACGGCAGCACGGGAGCAAUCCUGGUGGCGAGUGGCGAACGGGUGAGUAAUAUAUCGGAACGUGCCCAGUAGAGGGGGAUAGCCCGGCGAAAGCCGGAUUAAUACCGCAUGAGACCUGAGGGUGAAAGCGGGGGAUCGCAAGACCUCGCGCUAUUGGAGCGGCCGAUACCAGAUUAGCUAGUUGGUGGGGUAAAGGCCUACCAAGGCAACGAUCUGUAGUUGGUCUGAGAGGACGACCAGCCACACUGGGACUGAGACACGGCCCAGACUCCUACGGGAGGCAGCAGUGGGGAAUUUUGGACAAUGGGCGCAAGCCUGAUCCAGCAAUGCCGCGUGCAGGAAGAAGGCCUUCGGGUUGUAAACUGCUUUUGUCAGGGAAGAAAUCCCUUGGGAUAAUACCUCGGGGGGAUGACGGUACCUGAAGAAUAAGCACCGGCUAACUACGUGCCAGCCGCCGCCGUAACAC
rnacentral:rRNA from 1 species